rnacentral:misc_RNA from 1 species
GUUAUAGUUGAUAGAACAAAUGUUGGUGAUCGGCUUGAGCAGCUGGAUAUCUAUGAUGGCAAGGCUUCUGGUGAAGGAUGUGAGGAACCAGAGAUGAAAUCUCCAGCUCCAGCUGCUAAGCAAAGUACCAGAAAAGGUGCGUCUAAAUCUUCUGACAAAUCCAAGAAAAGGAAGAAACCCAAAGAUUCAUCAGAAUCAGAAGAUGAAGGCAUCACUGAUGAUGAAAGUGAAAGUAGUGAAGAACAGGUCAAUGGCCAUAAACAGGGUAGAAAGGCUUCUGGUAGAGCUCGAGGAAAAUCAGCAGCAGAAGGGAAAGUUGGUGGGCGUGGACAGGGCCACACUUCGGUGGCAAAUAAAACUACCAAUUCUUCUCAGGUGAAAGCUGGCAAGAGAGGAAGGCCACGGAAGGCAUAAGUUGCAUACUCAGGGGGUGAAUAUGGAAAUUUUGCUGUGUAGAGAACUGUGCG